rnacentral:rRNA from 1 species
UAGGGAAUAUUCCGCAAUGGGCGAAAGCCUGACGGAGCAACGCCGCGUGAGUGAAGAAGGUCUUCGGAUCGUAAAGCUCUGUCAACAGGGACGAAACAAGACGGUACCUGAGAAGGAAGCCACGGCAAACUACGUGCCAGCAGCCGCGGUAAUACGUAGGUGGCAAGCGUUGUCCGGAAUAACUGGGCGUAAAGCGCAUGUAGACGGCAUGAUAAGCCAAAUGUGAAAUGUAGGGGCUCAACCCCUACACUGCGAUUGGAACUGUCAAGCUUGAGUGCAGGAGAGGCAAAUGGAAUUCCCAGUGUAGCAGUGAAAUGCGUAGAGAUUGGGAGGAACACCAGUGGCGAAGGCGAUUUGCUGGACUGCAACUGACGUUGAGAUGUGAAAGCCAGGGGAGCAAACG